rnacentral:rRNA from 1 species
AGCCUGAUGCAGCGACGCCGCGUGAGGGAUGACGGCCUUCGGGUUGUAAACCUCUGUUAGCAGGGAAGAAGAGAGAUUGACGGUACCUGCAGAGAAAGCGCCGGCUAACUACGUGCCAGCAGCCGCGGUAAUACGUAGGGCGCGAGCGUUGUCCGGAAUUAUUGGGCGUAAAGAGCUUGUAGGCGGUUUGUCGCGUCUGCUGUGAAAGGCCGGGGCUUAACUCCGUGUAUUGCAGUGGGUACGGGCAGACUAGAGUGCAGUAGGGGAGACUGGAAUUCCUGGUGUAGCGGUGGAAUGCGCAGAUAUCAGGAGGAACACCGAUGGCGAAGGCAGGUCUCUGGGCUGUAACUGACGCUGAGAAGCGAAAGCAUGGGGAGCGAACAGGAUUAGAUACCCUGGUAGUCCAUGCCGUAAACGUUGGGCACUAGGUGUGGGGGACAUUCCACGUUUUCCGCGCCGUAGCUAACGCAUUAAGUGCCCCGCCUGGGGAGUACGGCCGCAAGGCUAAAACUCAAAGGAAUUGACGGGGGCCCGCACAAGCGGCGGAGCAUGCGGAUUAAUUCGAUGCAACGCGAAGAACCUUACCAAGGCUUGACAUAUACUGGACCGCAUCAGAGAUGGUGUUUCCCUUCGGGGCUGGUAUACAGGUGGUGCAUGGUUGUCGUCAGCUCGUGUCGUGAGAUGUUGGGUUAAGUCCCGCAACGAGCGCAACCCUUGCCCUAUGUUGCCAGCACGUGAUGGUGGGGACUCGUGGGGGACUGCCGGGGUUAACUCGGAGGAAGGUGGGGAUGACGUCAAAUCAUCAUGCCCCUUAUGUCUUGGGCUUCACGCAUGCUACAAUGGCCGGUACAGAGGGUUGCGAUACUGUGAGGUGGAGCUAAUCCCUAAAAGCCGGUCUCAGUUCGGAUUGGGGUCUGCAACUCGACCCCAUGAAGUCGGAGUCGCUAGUAAUCGCAGAUCAGCAACGCUGCGGUGAAUACGUUCCCGGGCCUUGUACACACCGCCCGUCAAGUCACGAAAGUUGGUAACACCCAAAGCCGGUGGCCUAACCUUUUUGGAGGGAGCCGUCUAAGGUGGGAUUGGCGAUUGGGACUAAGUCGUAACAAGGUAGCCGUACCGGAAGGUGCGGCUG